CUUUUCUGAAAGCACUACUACACGCACUCCAGUAACAAGUGGAUACCGUCAGGAUGUAGUCACCCACACUAUUAAACCUCCUCUGCUGUGUGUGUAGCCAUUUUGUAGAGUUUCUUCAGCCUGGUGUAACUGAAUACUCACUACCUCAGUAGAUUGGGAGGACUGUGCCUUCCCCGACUCAGACAGUGCUCCCCGUAGUCAACGACAAGCCAAGAGGUCCCCACAGAGUAUUAACAAUAAAUGUUUCUGGGUUUCAAGCUCUAAAGGACUGUGGACUCCUGACAGCGUUUCUGUAAAACAUGCUUGUCAUUUGUGUGAGACUGACACGGUGCUCACUGACUUAUUUUUAAGUAGUAGUUCUGUCUAUUGAAAGCUGUAUGUGUGGAAAAGUGGCU
rnacentral:lncRNA from 1 species